UACGUAGGGUGCGAGCGUUAAUCGGAAUUACUGGGCGUAAAGCGUGCGCGGGCGGUUUUGUAAGACAGAGGUGAAAUCCCCGGGCUUAACCUGGGAACUGCCUUUGUGACUGCAAGGCUUGAGUGCGGCAGAGGGGGAUGGAAUUCCGCGUGUAGCAGUGAAAUGCGUAGAUAUGCGGAGGAACACCGAUGGCGAAGGCAAUCCCCUGGGCCUGCACUGACGCUCAUGCACGAAAGCGUGGGGAGCAAACAGG
rnacentral:rRNA from 1 species